CAGAUUACAUGACUCAUUAUGCUGACAUCAGCAAAGCACAAAAAGAAAACAACUGUAUGACAAUCACAGCUACCAGAUACCAGAGUCAAGUUGAGGCUCAAAACAAUUAAUAAAAUAAUAAUCCUACUAUCCAUAUACUUUACAUGCUUUCUACUAGAAACAAAGAAUGGAUCUUGCAUGAAUGCUAUUGAAAAAAAAAAGGG
rnacentral:misc_RNA from 1 species